GUGUCAGCAGCCGCGGUAAAACGUAGGACACGAGCGUUAUCCGGAGUUACUGGGCGUAAAGGGCGUGCAGGCGGUCACAUAAGUCUGAUGUGAAAGCGCCCGGCUUAACCGGGCGAGGACAUUGGAGACUGUGUAACUAGAGGCAGAUAGAGGGGUGUAGAAUUCCGGGUGUAGUGGUGAAAUGCGUAGAGAUCCGGAGGAAUACCAGAGGCGAAGGCGGCACCCUGGGUCUGACCUGACGCUGAGACGCGACAGCAUGGGGAGCGAACGGGAUUAGAAACCCCAGUAGUCC
rnacentral:rRNA from 1 species